rnacentral:sRNA from 1 species
ACAAAACUUAAGUUUGAGAUAACAUAUUAACACAUGAUUAAUAUCUUUUCCAAAUGUUUUCACAAUUUAUAAGUUUAUUGAAUUCUUCAAAUUUUUUUAAAUAAGAAAUAAAACCAUUAUACAAAUCAUGGACUCACAAUGAAUUUCCAAAUUUUUGGCCUGCAUUUCAGACCCCCUUAUGGAGCAUUAGAAUGUUGAACGGUAACACAAAUGUUUGCAAUGCUAUUUAUAAAUCUGUCAAGUUUGCAUAUAAAGCUCUUUUAAACACAGAAACAUGCUACACUUACAGAAUAAAAAAUAAAUUUUUAGAAAUUUUACAAAAUCAUUGAAAUAAAACAGAUUAAACAAACAUGAUUUUAAAUGAGGACACUUUUUCAUGAGGUUCAGAUAUAUUGAAUCAGUAUAAAAGUGUUAAAAAAAAAACAAAACUAAAAUUCUAUUUCACUAAAUAUAAUUAAAUCACAGAUAGAUUUUAAAAAAAGUAAAGAGUUUGUAAAAUGUAGGUUGGAAUGUGUAUAAACUGUCUACAUUUUAAAAUACUCAAAUAUAAAAGGGGAAAAGCAAUUAGUUUUAAACACUUUCCUCCGAUAAAUCAUCGGAGUAUGAAUCGGGUGUAUAUUCAUCCAUAACUUCGGUGGAUGUUACACUGGGUCCACGAUUUGUGUCAUUAUUAUAUUUAACAGUCAUUUAUUGAAUCUCAAAGGGUUUGAUUGUACUUGUAUAGGUUUUAUUGUCGUAGGUAAUUUAAAAAUUUAAAACACAUGUCAUGUACUUAACAUGAUAUACAUACGUAUAUAUUUGUAUUGAAACAUAUAAUAAAUUCAAAUAACCUG